rnacentral:lncRNA from 1 species
AGGUGAAAGCAUCUCAAGGACUUCCAAAACCUGCAAGACGAUUUUGACUCAAUGAAUGGACUGUGAGUGAGUCUUUUUGUUUUAAUGAGUAUUAAUACUAUAUGGCUUUCCUCGAUAACUGUUUAUGCAUAUUUGAUGUGACUUGGCAUGUUUAGCUUACAAGCAAUCAGUACAUACAUUGUACAUUAUAAUAUUUUUUGUAAGCAUAAACUUGUGGCAUGAGAUUCUUACAUUUUUAUCUGCUCAUUAUUACAUGUUUGCAUGGUGUCUCUUAGAUAUUUGUACUAUCCUGGGCCAAUGACCAGCUUCAUGUGUAGUUGACAUUGCACAGUGUCUCUUCUACACAAAACUUUAAAAUGCACACCUCUUCAAUCUAAACUUCGUGGUAAAAAACCUUCUCGAAGAGAACCCAAGAUUAAGCAUUGUAUUUGGUAAAUUGCUAGAUCUCUUUGAGCACUGGGUUAACGGUUCACAUCGCAUAUCAGGUAAUUUCAAUAUUUCUCCUUUUCGUCCUUCAGGUUCGAUUUUCCUGUGAUGUGUUAAUUUUUCAUUGGAAAUGUAAAUUCUUUGUUUUUACCUACCAAUUGAGAAUUUGAGAUACUUGAGUUUGGUGCCUUUUUCUUCAAUUCUUAAGCUUUUCUUCGCUUCUGCUAUUCGAUGGCACUAUACUUAUCUAUAUGUUUUACUUGUAAGUUGUUUGUUUCGGGCUAUAUUUAUGUCCGUUGCUUGCCACAUGCUUGUUCAAUUUUUUUGCUUCUUUCUUUUGUUGUGCGUAUAAGGCUUAGUUGCACUAGUAAAAACCUUUGAAGUCAAUGCCUUGUAUCCAAAGUAGGUGCUAGCUUGUUCCCCCUUAGGAUAGUGGUAGAAAUCCCUUAGGGUUUUGAUAGACAUGUAUGUGAUGUGGCUAGCACACUUCACGUGAUGAAGUACUAGGACAUAAAACCUACAUCUAACAUGUUCCAUUGUCAGAAUAUUUCUGUAAUGGACUUGUGUGCCUACAUACAUUAAUGUGUAAUGAUUUAUACUUUGAGACGACUGUUGUAUAUGUAACCCUACUUUUCGACUUACGAUAUCUGCCUAUACAAUAUUACGUAGUAUUAUUAUGUUUGAGAAACCAUAAACUUGUUUUACAGCGAGGGGUUAUACAUUUUCGAAAAAGUUUUACAAAAUAUGAUUUUCAAGCCCAUUACAUUUUUUUUCCGCCUCUCCAGGAUUUUAGACAUAGAGCUCAUGUUGUCGACGAUGAUUAUUGGCAACAAUUGACAUGUAGGAGGUUUCUCCUUAAGAUAUAAAUAUUCCCUACUUUUAUUGCGCUAUUAUUUGUGCUCGAACAUCACUUUUGUAAUAAGGAUUUUAUAAUACUCUAAAUUAGUUACUUUAGUGACAGAGCUCAUGUUGUUCAACCAGCUCACAUGCGUACUCUAAAUUAGUUACUUUAGGUUUAAAUUAGUUCGCAAUUUCCACAACACCAUCACUUUAUGACUUUGUCACCUUAUAGGUGUCAGUCAGCAUAGUUCGAUUCGAGUGUCCACAUGGAUAUUCCGAGUCGGAGUGUUUCAAAUUAAUAAUAUUAAGAAUGUAUCGCUGUUUUGUGUUUGGAAAAUCUACCAAAUGUUUAUUGUGUUGUGGCCAAUUUAUCUGACGAGGAGAUAGAUGGGGCACAACAAGAGAGAGAGAAUGGAGAAAAUAUGAGAUGUUAAGAGGGUGUGUUAUUCUUCAUAGGCAGUGCCUUUAUUUAUAGUAGUAAAGAGGAGAAGAAUCUUUAUUCUCCAAAAAAAAAAAAAGAAUCCUAGUACAAAAAGAAUAUCUAUUAACCAAAUAAUUUUUGGUUGAUUUGAUGAAUGUACCCAUGGUUAUAUAUAUGUAUACAAUAUGUUUCUUGUUUUUAUAUGUACAUUCUUUUUUAUGACAAAACAUGACUUUUUCUAUUAUUUAGAAUUUUUAUGUAUUGUAAUCUCUAUUCAUUAAUAAAACCCUCUUUGUCAACAAAAAAAGGGUGAAAAGAUAAUUUAGUCUUCUAUCAUACAAAAAAAAAUGAUGGGCAAUAAUGUAAUUUCACAGGUCCAAAUUUUAUUGUUUUUUAUUGAAGCCUCAACUACAUGUGAUACUAAAAUAUCUCUAAUAUUUAAAAUUUUAAAUAAAUAAAUAAAUAAAAUAAAAACCAAAAACAAAAAUCUUCCACUCCCCCCACAUUCUCUCUCUCUUUCUCUCUCCCUCUCUCCUUCUCAUUUUCUAAAAAAAAUGUGUUCAUACACACAAAGUGUGUAGGAAAAUGCUAGUAUAAAUAAACAAAAGUCUCUAUUAUUUAAAUUUUUAAGUAUUUUAAUAUUUUGCAUCCCACGAAUCAUGGGUUGUAUUUAAAAUAUCAUAAAUAUAGACAACUACAAAUUUCAAAUUUCAGUUCAAAAAUAAAAUAACUAACAUGGAAAUACGUAAUACAUUAAUAUUAAAAGGCAGGGAAAAGUGGCUUCAAAGCGUACAUUGUUGGAGUUGGAGUACCUUGAAAUUUCAUUGCAAGUGAUCGUAAGUAGGGGUGGGUUCGGUUUAAAUCGGUUCUGUUUUUUACCAAA